rnacentral:rRNA from 1 species
AGAGUUUGAUCCUGGCUCAGAACGAACGCUGGCGGCAGGCUUAACACAUGCAAGUCGAGCGCCCCGCGAGGGGAGCGGCAGACGGGUGAGUAACGCGUGGGGAUGUACCCAAAGGUGCGGAAUAACUCAGGGAAACUUGAGCUAAUACCGCAUGUGCCCGAGAGGGGAAAGAUUUAUCGCCUUUGGAUCAACCCGCGUCAGAUUAGCUAGUUGGUAGGGUAAUGGCCUACCAAGGUGACGAUCUGUAGCUGGUCUGAGAGGAUGAUCAGCCACACUGGGACUGAGACACGGCCCAGACUCCUACGGGAGGCAGCAGUGGGGAAUAUUGGACAAUGGGCGCAAGCCUGAUCCAGCCAUGCCGCGUGAGUGAUGACGGCCUUAGGGUUGUAAAGCUCUUUUAACAGGGACGAUAAUGACGGUACCUGUAGAAUAAGCCCCGGCUAACUUCGUGCCAGCAGCCGCGGUAAUACGAAGGGGGCUAGCGUUGUUCGGAAUCACUGGGCGUAAAGCGCACGU